UAAACGAUGUCAACUAGUUGUUGGGAGGGUUUCUUCUCAGUAACGUAGCUAACGCGUGAAGUUGACCGCCUGGGGAGUACGGCCGCAAGGUUGAAACUCAAAGGAAAUUGACGGGGACCCGCACAAGCGGUGGAUGAUGUGGUUUAAUUCGACGCAACGCGAAAAACCUUACCUACCCUUGACAUGUCUGGAAUUUCGCAGAGAUGUGAAAGUGCUCGAAAGAGAACCAGAACACAGGUGCUGCAUGGCCGUCGUCAGCUCGUGUCGUGAGAUGUUGGGUUAAGUCCCGCAACGAGCGCAACCCUUGUCAUUAGUUGCUACGAAAGGGCACUCUAAUGAGACUGCCGGUGACAAACCGGAGGAAGGUGGGGAUGACGUCAGGUCAUCAUGGCCCUUAUGGGUAGGGCUACACACGUCAUACAAUGGCCGGUACAGAGGGCUGCCAACCCGCGAGGGGGAGCUAAUCCCAGAAAACCGGUCGUAGUCCGGAUCGCAGUCUGCAACUCGACUGCGUGAAGUCGGAAUCGCUAGUAAUCGCGGAUCAGCUUGCCGCGGUGAAUACGUUCCCGGGUCUUGUACACACCGCCCGUCACACCAUGGGAGCGGGUUCUGCCAGAAGUAGUUAGCCUAACCGCAAGGAGGGCGAUUACCACGGCAGGGUUCGUGACUGGGGUGAAGUCGUAACAAGGUAACC
rnacentral:rRNA from 1 species